AAAGUCUAAACGACUCUCGGCAACGGAUAUCUCGGCUCUCGCAUCGAUGAAGAACGUAGCGAAAUGCGAUACUUGGUGUGAAUUGCAGAAUCCCGUGAACCAUCGAGUCUUUGAACGCAAGUUGCGCCCGAAACUGUUUGGUCGAGGGCACGCCUGCCUGGGCGUC
rnacentral:rRNA from 1 species